CUUUUGAGUACCUUACGUUUCCUCGGUGGGUUCGCCCACCGAUUGGACAAAUUUAAACCCUUUGCAGUUGAAAUCAGCGUCUGAAAAAACUUAAUAGUUACAACUUUCAACAACGGAUCUCUUGGUUCUGGCAUCGAUGAAGAACGCAGCGAAAUGCGAUAAGUAGUGUGAAUUGCAGAAUUCAGUGAAUCAUCGAAUCUUUGAACGCACAUUGCGCCCCUUGGUAUUCCAUGGGGCAUGCCUGUUCGAGCGUCAUUUGUACCUUCAAGCUCUGCUUGGUGUUGGGUGUUUGUCUCCUGUAGACUCGCCUUAAAACAGUUGGCAGCCGGCGUAUUGAUUUCGGAGCGCAGUACAUCUCGCGCUUUGCACUCAUAACGACGACAUCCAAAAGUACAUUUUUACACUCUUGACCUCGGAUCAGGUAGGGAUACCCGCUGAACUUAAGCAUAUCAAUAAGCGGAGG
rnacentral:rRNA from 1 species